rnacentral:rRNA from 1 species
CGUACAGUGGUGCCGAUGGCAGUGGUAAGAAGGGGUGUGCAAGCUGUACUCGGAAUCACUGUGCGUAAAGAUUAUGUAGGCGUAUUAAUAAGUUUUAAGUGAAAUCCUAUAGCUUAAUUAUAGAACUGCUUUGAAAACUGUUAAUCUAGAAUGUGGGAGAGGUAGAUGUAAUUUCUGGUGUAGGGGUAAAAUCCGUAGAGAUCAGAAGGAAUACCGAUUGCGAAGGCGAUCUACUGGAACAUUAUUGACGCUGAGAUGCGAAAGCGUGGGGAGCAAACAGGAUUAGAUACCCGAGUAGUC